rnacentral:lncRNA from 1 species
CAAGCAGUAUUAGGUGUUCCUGCCAACAUCUUCAGCUAAGAAUUCAACUCCUCACUAAUAUUGAUUGUGAUACCUGAGAAUGAGUAAACCUCUAGGACAGAGUCAGCAAACAUUUUCUUUAAGAGCCAAGUAGCAGAUAUUUAGACUAUUCUUAGUUCAUGGGCUGUAUAAAAAUAGACAGAAUUUGGCCUGUGAGGCUGUAGUUUACCCUGCUUUAAAUGGUUCCUAUACCCAACCUUUAAGGCAUCCCAGCUAAAGAUCAGCUGGUGUGUUCAUCUCAUUCUGAGAAUCAGGCUGAAGGAACAACCUCUAUCUGGAACAUGCUUUACAUAUCAGAAGGAGAAGAAAGAAAGCAGGGAAAGAAAACAGGCAUCAUGAUGGCAACUAAAGGGUGAUGAGCUUGUUUCCCACUUCACUGGAAAACAAAAUGGGAAUAUUCAGAAGAUAAGUUCCACAGCUCCCAUAGCAUCUUCCUAUCUACCAGGAUUUGGACCUUCUACACCCUGCUCCCAUUAAGGAAUUAGCCUUGCUCUUGUCCAAAACUAGCCUUUGCGUAUGCCUUAGAUCCUAUCCCCCUUGCUUGCUCACAGGCUUUGCUCCAGCAAUUCUCCCUAUUUUUCCCCUAUACCAUCAGCUUCCUCUCUCUACUAGGUCAUUUCCACCAGCACACAACAAUACUGUCUCUCUCAUCUUAGAAAUGGAAACUAACAAAAUUGAGUUCACUUUUCCUUCUGACACUAUCCCUUUUCUACCUCCCCCACUUUACAGCAAAACUCUUUGAAAGCUGCCUGAAUUUCACUGCUUCCAUUUCCUCUCCUCUUCUCACUUAAACCUACUGCUGCCAGAACCGGGACUCCACCACCUCACCAGACCCCUGCUUGUCAAUAUCAUCAAUGACUUCCAUCUUGCUAAAUCCAUUUCUUGUCCCCAUUGAACUUGACCCUCAGUAACACCUUGUCAAAUUAACCACUCCCUUCUCAUGGAAAUGAUUUCUUGUUUUCUAAGACACUACACAUUUCGUUUUCCUUCAACACCCCUGGAUGCUGCUUCCCAGUCUUGUCCCUUAACCUCCUAGCACUGAAGUGAUGCAGGGCUCAGUCCACAGAUCUCUUCAUCUUUCCUGUUCACUCCAUACUCACCCUCUUGGUAAUUCCCUUCCAGUUUCAUCGUUUAAAUGGCAUCUGUCUGCAAAUGAUUAUCAAAUGUAUGCCUCCAGCCAUGGCCACUGCUCUCAACGUUAGCUUAUCCAUCUAACUGUCAACUCUGUAUCUCUACCUGGACGCCUGAUGGAGGUCUCCAAUGUACCAUGCCCUAAACUGAAAUUUUGAUCUUCUUUAUCCACAGAAUCUGCUCGACCCUAUCUCAGUUAAAGGCAUAUGUUACUAAAGCCAAAGUCAGCAAAGAAGGAGCCUCCAUGCUUGGAAACAACCCAGCUAACUGCCAUCUGUGUGGUAGCUUGAGUGUGGAUUGAAGAACGGAGAGUCAGGAUUCUAGGGGAGAGUGGAACCAAUGGCUGGGCUGGAACCUGCAUGCCAGCACCUCCCCCACAUGCUGUUGGUCAAGCCAGAUUCAAGAGAUGGGGAAACAGACUCCGCCUCUGGAUGCCGCAAAGUCCCACGGCAAAGGGCAGGAAUAUAGAGCAUCAGGCUGCAAAUUUGAACACGAGCUUCCACAUGGUCAUCACAAAGAGGGAAAUACAGACAGCUUCGUGGCUCAUAAUUUCAAAAGAUAAAAAGAAAGAUGUCAUUUAGAAGCACACCUGUUCCUAGUACUCAGUCCUUGGAGGAUUCUCUUGCUGACUGAAAAACCUUAUCUAGGAAAAUAAAUGAACCUUUAGCUCUGGAAGGAGAUAGAAUGGAGAAUGCCCUAUAAGGAGACAAAGAAGAAAUAGCCUGAGUUUUUAAAAGAUGGAUUGAGAUCCCUUUCUCUCCUCCUGGUUGCUGAGGAAGACAUACAUAUCCCACUGCAAUAAAUCGGGGGAUGAUCAUUCAUACCAUGACAAAAUGGCAGAAAAUGUGCAACUCCAAGACCAAGAAAACGUGAAGAGGCUGUGACUACCUCCAUGUGAGAAACAUCUGAGUUCCUCCUGAUCCUAAGACCUCCCCACAAUGUAUGUAUGAUAGCAAUUUCCUCUGACAGAGCAGUGAAUUUGAUGAUAGUGCAUCGAUUGCUGUAAAUUGUCUGCUGGGUUACCUGUUCCUACCACCUUAGAGCACUCACAGCUCAGUGACUGUGGAAGUCAGCUUCCAAGAUGUUCCCCUAUGAUCCUCCCCUCCUUGUAUUCACAUCUGUAAAGAUUCCUCCCACAAUGAAUCACAGUUUCGUUUUGUGACCAACAGAAUACAGCAGAAGUAAGGAAAUGUGACUUCCAAGGCUAAUGAAUAAAAGGCUUUGCAGUUUUCUCCUUGGUCAGUUGGAAGCCACCUGCCAUGGACACUCAAGCAGUUCUGUGGAGAGGCUCAUGAGGGAAAGAACUGAGGCCCCUCCACCAACAUCCAGCACCAACUUGUCAGCUGUGUCUGUGAGCCAUCUAGGAAUGAGACCCUCCUGAAGCCCUGGUGAAGCCUUCAGAUGACCGUAGCCCCAGCCAACAUUUGGCUGCAGUCUCAUGGCAGGCUCCAAGCCAAACCCUACCAGUGAAUUUGCUACCAAAUUCCUGACUCAUGGAAACUGUGUGUGUAAUAAAUGUUUAUUGUAUGAUAAAGCCACUAAAUUUAGGAGUAAUUUCUUACACAGCAAUAGAUAACUAGUAGAGUCACUUUGCAUCUCUUAGGGUCUAUGGCAAAUGACACAUAAUGAAUAGAGAAAUUGGAACAGACAACUGGUUGUCUGUUUCAGUACAGAAACUGGUUGGUAUUAAGAGUGACAAUUUUUAUUAUAGUUCAAGCUAUAGUACUGUAUGUUCUUGAAUAAACUAUGCUAAUCUAGGCCAUCCAAAGACUUCCCAAAAUGUAUGGUGAGAAUAACAUUUCCAAGAUACUAAACCAAUGUUUGUAGCUCCUGAUAAUUCCUAAUUCCUGGUUGCCCCAAGCCACCACCUGCCCCAACUAAAACAAAAGAAUUGAUCACAUCAUAAUAAAAUUAGAACCUUCAAAGAACAGGCACUGAUCUCUUGGAAUUUUUAUUUUAAACUUAAGUUUACAUGACAAUCUGCUUCCACUUACAUGAUAAUCUGAAAGCAUAUGUUGAAAUGGCAUGGUUCUUGGUUGCAGAAAACAGAAAUGAAAUCUACCUAAGCAGAAAUUAAAAUUAUAGGAGGGAUAUUGGGAGCUCAUAACAUCCAGAGGCUGACUAAACAAACAGACUUCAACGUCAAAAGCAGCCCCCACCCUGGAGGCUAGGGAUCUAUGAGAGCAAAUUGAACAUCUGAUCUCUCAGCUCUCACCAAACUCACACCAUGGCAGAACCUUCACGAAGGGAGGAAGAGACUCAGAUGCUGAACACAAGGAGAG